GAUGAACGCUAGCGACAGGCUUAACACAUGCAAGUCGAGGCGCAGCACGGGAGUAGCAACACAACUGGUGGCGACCGGCGCACGGGUGAGUAACGCGUAGGCAACCUGCCUAUCAGAGGGGCAUAACCCGGCGAAAGGCUGACUAAUACCGCAUAAAACAUGGACACCGCAUGGUGAUAUCAGUUACAGAAAUUCGCUGCUAGACGGGCAUGCGUUCCAUUAGGUAGUUGGUGCGGUAACGGCUCACCAAGCCGACGAUGGAUAGGGGAACUGCGAGGUUCGCCCCCCACACUGGUACUGAGACACGGACCAGACUCCUACGGGAGGCAGCAGUGAGGAAUAUUGGUCAAUGGGCGAGAGCCUGAACCAGCCAAGUCGCGUGAAGGAAGAAGGAUCUAUGGUUCGUAAACUUCUUUUGCAGGGGAAUAAAGUGCAGGACGUGUCCUGUUUUGUAUGUACCCUGAGAAUAAGGAUCGGCUAACUCCGUGCCAGCAGCCGCGGUAAGAC
rnacentral:rRNA from 1 species